rnacentral:rRNA from 1 species
GGUUCCUGUCCAACGUUAAUCGGGGCAGGGUGAGUCGACCCCUAAGGCGAGGCCGAAAGGCGUAGUCGAUGGGAAACAGGUUAAUAUUCCUGUACUUGGUGUUACUGCGAAGGGGGGACGGAGAAGGCUAUGUUGGCCGGGCGACGGUUGUCCCGGUUUAAGCGUGUAGGCUGGUUUUCCAGGCAAAUCCGGAAAAUCAAGGCCGAGGCGUGAUGACGAGGCACUACGGUGCUGAAGCAACAAAUGCCCUGCUUCCAGGAAAAGCCUCUAAGCAUCAGGUAACAUCAAAUCGUACCCCAAACCGACACAGGUGGUCAGGUAGAGAAUACCAAGGCGCUUGAGAGAACUCGGGUGAAGGAACUAGGCAAAAUGGUGCCGUAACUUCGGGAGAAGGCACGCUGAUACGUAGGUGAAGCGACUUGCUCGUGGAGCUGAAAUCAGUCGAAGAUACCAGCUGGCUGCAACUGUUUAUUAAAAACACAGCACUGUGCAAACACGAAAGUGGACGUAUACGGUGUGACGCCUGCCCGGUGCCGGAAGGUUAAUUGAUGGGGUUAGCGCAAGCGAAGCUCUUGAUCGAAGCCCCGGUAAACGGCGGCCGUAACUAUAACGGUCCUAAGGUAGCGAAAUUCCUUGUCGGGUAAGUUCCGACCUGCACGAAUGGCGUAAUGAUGGCCAGGCUGUCUCCACCCGAGACUCAGUGAAAUUGAACUCGCUGUGAAGAUGCAGUGUACCCGCGGCAAGACGGAAAGACCCCGUGAACCUUUACUAUAGCUUGACACUGAACAUUGAGCCUUGAUGUGUAGGAUAGGUGGGAGGCUUUGAAGUGUGGACGCCAGUCUGCAUGGAGCCGACCUUGAAAUACCACCCUUUAAUGUUUGAUGUUCUAACGUGGACCCGUGAUCCGGGUUGCGGACAGUGUCUGGUGGGUAGUUUGACUGGGGCGGUCUCCUCCUAAAGAGUAACGGAGGAGCACGAAGGUUGGCUAAUCCUGGUCGGACAUCAGGAGGUUAGUGCAAUGGCAUAAGCCAGCUUGACUGCGAGCGUGACGGCGCGAGCAGGUGCGAAAGCAGGUCAUAGUGAUCCGGUGGUUCUGAAUGGAAGGGCCAUCGCUCAACGGAUAAAAGGUACUCCGGGGAUAACAGGCUGAUACCGCCCAAGAGUUCAUAUCGACGGCGGUGUUUGGCACCUCGAUGUCGGCUCAUCACAUCCUGGGGCUGAAGUAGGUCCCAAGGGUAUGGCUGUUCGCCAUUUAAAGUGGUACGCGAGCUGGGUUUAGAACGUCGUGAGACAGUUCGGUCCCUAUCUGCCGUGGGCGCUGGAGAACUGAGGGGGGCUGCUCCUAGUACGAGAGGACCGGAGUGGACGCAUCACUGGUGUUCGGGUUGUCAUGCCAAUGGCACUGCCCGGUAGCUAAAUGCGGAAGAGAUAAGUGCUGAAAGCAUCUAAGCACGAAACUUGCCCCGAGAUGAGUUCUCCCUGACCCUUUAAGGGUCCUGAAGGAACGUUGAAGACGACGACGUUGAUAGGCCGGGUGUGUAAGCGCAGCGAUGCGUUGAGCUAACCGGUACUAAUGAACCGUGAGGCUUAACCUUACAACGCCGAAG